AUUGAACGCUGGCGGCAGGCUUAACACAUGCAAGUCGAGCGGGGGAAGGUAGCUUGCUACCGGACCUAGCGGCGGACGGGUGAGUAAUGCUUAGGAAUCUGCCUAUUAGUGGGGGACAACAUCUCGAAAGGGAUGCUAAUACCGCAUACGUCCUACGGGAGAAAGCAGGGGAUCUUCGGACCUUGCGCUAAUAGAUGAGCAUAAGUCGGAUUAGCUAGUUGGUGGGGUAAAGGCCUACCAAGGCGACGAUCUGUAGCGGGUCUGAGAGGAUGAUCCGCCACACUGGACUGGGACACGGCCCAGGCUCCUACGGGAGGCAGCAGUGGGGAAUAUUGGACAAUGGGGGGAACCCUGAUCCAGCCAUGCCGCGUGUGUGAAGAAGGCCUUAUGGUUGUAAAGCACUUUAAGCGAGGAGGAGGCUACUUUAGUUAAUACCUAGAGAUAGUGGACGUUACUCGCAGAAUAAGCACCGGCUAACUCUGUGCCAGCAGCCGCCGUAA
rnacentral:rRNA from 1 species